UACGAGGGGUGCAAGUGUUGUUCGGAAUUACUGGGCGUAAAGCGUGCGCAGGCGGUUCGUUGUGUCUGUGGUGAAAGCCCCGGGCUUAACCUGGGAAUGGCCAUGGAAACUGGCGAGCUGGAGUGUGGCAGAGGGGGGUGGAAUUCCGCGUGUAGCAGUGAAAUGCGUAGAGAUGCGGAGGAACACCGAUGGCGAAGGCAGCCCCCUGGGCUAACACUGACGCUCAGGCACGAAAGCGUGGGGAGCAAACAGG
rnacentral:rRNA from 1 species